AUGGCAGGGUUCGGCAGCCUGGCGCCCAAGACGAAGAACGUGGUGGUGGCAGGCAGGCUGACGGGGUUUGUCUUUGGGGUCUACUACUACACCAUGUGGGUGUUGGGGAACGUUGCAGAAAAUUAA
rnacentral:rRNA from 1 species